rnacentral:rRNA from 1 species
AGAGUUUGAUCAUGGCUCAGAGUGAACGCUGGCGGUAGGCCUAACACAUGCAAGUCGAACGGCAGCACAGGAGAGCUUGCUCUCUGGGUGGCGAGUGGCGGACGGGUGAGGAAUACAUCGGAAUCUACCUUUUCGUGGGGGAUAACGUAGGGAAACUUACGCUAAUACCGCAUACGACCUACGGGUGAAAGUGGGGGACCGCAAGGCCUCACGCGAUUAGAUGAGCCGAUGUCCGAUUAGCUAGUUGGCGGGGUAAUGGCCCACCAAGGCGACGAUCGGUAGCUGGUCUGAGAGGAUGAUCAGCCACACUGGAACUGAGACACGGUCCAGACUCCUACGGGAGGCAGCAGUGGGGAAUAUUGGACAAUGGGCGCAAGCCUGAUCCAGCCAUACCGCGUGGGUGAAGAAGGCCUUCGGGUUGUAAAGCCCUUUUGUUGGGAAAGAAAUCCUAUCGGUUAAUAACCGGUGGGGAUGACGGUACCCAAAGAAUAAGCACCGGCUAACUUCGUGCCAGCAGCCGCGGUAAUACGAAGGGUGCAAGCGUUACUCGGAAUUACUGGGCGUAAAGCGUGCGUAGGUGGUGGUUUAAGUCUGCUGUG